rnacentral:rRNA from 1 species
ACGGGAGGCAGCAGUCGGGAAUAUUGCGCAAUGGAGGAAACUCUGACGCAGUGACGCCGCGUAUAGGAAGAAGGUUUUCGGAUUGUAAACUAUUGUCGUUAGGGAAGAUAAAAGACAGUACCUAAGGAGGAAGCCCCGGCUAACUAUGUGCCAGCAGCCGCGGUAAUACAUAGGGGGCAAGCGUUAUCCGGAAUUAUUGGGUGUAAAGGGUGCGUAGACGGGAAAGCAAGUUAGUUGUGAAAUCCCUCGGCUUAACUGAGGAACUGCAACUAAAACUACUAUUCUUGAGUGUCGGAGGGGAAAGUGGAAUUCCUAGUGUAGCGGUGAAAUGCGUAGAUAUUAGGAGGAACACCAGUGGCGAAGGCGGCUUACUGGACUGUAACUGACGUUGAGGCUCGAAAGCGUGGGGAGCAAACAGGAUUAGAUACCCUGGUA